UGGGGAAUAUUGGACAAUGGGGGAAACCCUGAUCCAGCGACGCCGCGUGAGUGAAGAAGUAUUUCGGUAUGUAAAGCUCUAUCAGCAGGGAAGAAAAUGACGGUACCUGACUAAGAAGCCCCGGCUAACUACGUGCCAGCAGCCGCGGUAAUACGUAGGGGGCAAGCGUUAUCCGGAUUUACUGGGUGUAAAGGGAGCGCAGACGGCGAUGCAAGUCUGAAGUGAAAGGCGUGGGCUCAACCCAUGAACUGCUUUGGAAACUGUAUAGCUUGAGUGUCGGAGGGGUAAGCGGAAUUCCUAGUGUAGCGGUGAAAUGCGUAGAUAUUAGGAGGAACACCGGAGGCGAAGGCGGCUUACUGGACGACAACUGACGUUGAGGCUCGAAGGCGUGGGGAGCAAACAGGAUUAGAUACCCUGGUAGUCCACGCAGUAAACGAUGAAUACUUGGUGUCGGGGAGGUAAACUCUUCGGUGCCGCAAGCUAACGCAUUAAGUAUUCCACCUGGGGAGUACGUUCGCAAGAAUG
rnacentral:rRNA from 1 species